CCUACGGGAGGCAGCAGUGAGGAAUAUUGGUCAAUGGACGAGAGUCUGAACCAGCCAAGUAGCGUGAAGGAUGACUGCCCUAUGGGUUGUAAACUUCUUUUAUAUGGGAAUAAAAUGUUCCACGUGUGGGAUUUUGUAUGUACCAUAUGAAUAAGGAUCGGCUAACUCCGUGCCAGCAGCCGCGGUACUACGGAGGAUCCGAGCGUUAUCCGGAUUUAUUGGGUUUAAAGGGAGCGUAGGUGGAUUGUUAAGUCAGUUGUGAAAGUUUGCGGCUCAACCGUAAAAUUGCAGUUGAAACUGGCAGUCGUGAGUACAGUAGAGGUGGGCGGAAUUCGUGGUGUAGCGGUGAAAUGCUUAGAUAUCACGAAGAACUCCGAUUGCGAAGGCAGCUCACUGGACUGCAACUGACACUGAGGCUCGAAAGUGUGGGUAUCAAACAGGAUUAGAUACCCCUGUAGUC
rnacentral:rRNA from 1 species